ACUACAUAAACAUUCAUUAUCUUUAUAAUUAACCAUCUAAAGCUACCACAGUUCUUCAAUCAAAGGUAUAUAUCUACAUAUAUAGAGAGAGUACACUUCAUAAUUUCGUCCCUUGUUUUCCGUAAACGUAGCACAAAAAUUUGAUACCCAGUAUUGUAAGGCAGGUCGUAGAAGCAGUCUUCCUGCACAUUUAAAAAUAAUAACAAGUCAAAAAAAUGAAACAAAUAAGUCACCAGAGGCACUUAGUGCCAAAAUCAAUACACAAAGACAAAGGAAUAAUUAAUCUUCAAAGAAGUAUAUAACAAUACUUUUGGCCAUCUCAUGUAGCACUACACCAACUGACCAAGGUGUUUUUGUACAAAAAGAAAAACAAUUAUACAUAACAAAUGAAACUAAACAUAACCCAAUUCCUAUAAAAUUCAAGAUACGGAACUUAACUUUCAUUAUAAGAGAGACAAAAUACAGGAAGAAUCCAGUUGACAAAAAGUUAACCAACAUGUAUGUUAGUGAUUUCAAAGAACAAAAGCACUAGCUUGCUCCACUGGUAAGCGUUUUGGUGGCAAAUGCCACAUGUUUGGAUUGAUAACUCUUGAUCCCAAUCUAUCAAUGCAGUUGUUAUAGACAACUGUUGCAUUGAUUAGAAAAGAGGUACUCAAUAAAGACCACUCCAUAUUGGCACUUAAAUAUGCAGCAGGAAUGUUUGCCCAUGGUACAAUUUUCCAACAACCCCACGGCCAAGAGUGAAAAAGAAAAGAUGCUGUUAGAUAUGACAUAUAAAGAAUCCUGGCAUUUAAAAAAGUUUUAAUGCAGUGAAAGCACCUGCAAUAGAUGCAUUAUUUGAUCUUGGAUCAGCGAGACAAGAGGCAAAAUUACCAAUGUUAUCCCUGGGCAAAUAUAUGCAGGGAGCUGCACAAAAAUAGUAUGCAGAACAUGUUAACUUCUACUUCAGAGAUUAUUCAAAAUUUGUACUUUCCGGUUCACAAGUAAC
rnacentral:lncRNA from 1 species